rnacentral:rRNA from 1 species
GUGAGGAAUUUUCCGCAAUGGGCGAAAGCCUGACGGAGCAAUGCCGCGUGAAGGAUGAAGGCCUAUGGGUUGUAAACUUCUUUUCUCAGAAAAGAAUUAUGACGGUAUCUGAGGAAUAAGCAUCGGCUAACUCUGUGCCAGCAGCCGCGGUAAGACAGAGGAUGCAAGCGUUAUCCGGAAUGAUUGGGCGUAAAGCGUCUGUAGGUUGUUUAAAAAGUAUUCUGUCAAAGAUUAGGGCUUAACCCUAGAUAGGCAGAAUAAACUUUUAAGCUAGAGUUUGGUAGAGGCAGAGGGUAUUCCCGGUGGAGCGGUGAAAUGCGUAGAUAUCGGGAGGAACACCAAAGGCGAAGGCACUCUGCUGGGCCAAUACUAACACUGAGAGACGAAAGCGAGGGGAGCAAAUGGGAUUAGAUACCCUUGUAGUCC